UUUUAUUCUGCUCUUUUGAAAAUGGUUUGACAACAAUUGUGAGGGCUGCAUUUAUAGGUUCCUGGCAUCAUAACCUCCAUAAUAAACUGUACGGGUUAUGGUGCGUGACGUGUCCAUAUAAGCAGUGUGUGUGUGAUAGUAAUAACUACAACUACGGAGAGGGGUAGGAUCCUCCAGUGAUUAAAAUGGAAGCAGCAGCAUUUCUUAUAAACAACGGAACCAUUUCAAAAAUGUUAAGAACAUAGACAAUUGUUUAUACCCAUGUGGUUUUAGUUUUUUAGUUUAGUUUUUUUAUAUUGUAGCCGCUGCUUUAAAAAUAGAAAUCUUUAGACCUUCGCUUUCAUGUUCUCUCCUACUGUGGUACUUGUCUGAUCGUAUCGGGAUGGUUUUCAAAUGCAAUAAUUAAAGCUUUACUGUGGAUAUACACCAGCUGUCCACAGCAAACAGACACUUGCGUCACACUGUACUAUGUACAGUCUUUUAAGUCUUGCUGGUGGCAGCGUUCUUUGCUGUCUCGACUAUUAAUUGGUUCUCAGAUGCAUGUUAUGCUAUAUCGAUACCAAAGGCUACGCUACUCCCAAUUAAAGUUCUGCUUUCUUAAGCUACUCCUCAGCGUACUCUUAUAGAAGUCGAGAUCUGACUUCUGCAAAUCCGUGAAAAACAACUGAAUUUACUGAAUCUGGAAAAAAUGUCUGUGUUUUAGAGGCAAAGGUUGAAACGUUUCAGUUUUCAUAGUUUGUCACAAAUGCAUUUAAUAGAUGCUUAAAACCCUGUGUUGAUGCCAGUAAAGGUGCAAUUAACAAAGUGGGUGGAAGGAAAAAAAACCUCUAAAUCAUAAAAAUAUUUGAUUUCUGAAAGUGUUCUAGAAGUGUUGCAAAGUUAUUAGAUGCCAUAAUUACCCAUGGGAUGUGCUGCCUGGUACCAUUGGUUUCCAUGGUGAUUGUACUUUAUCAAUAAUAAAAUAUAACAUUAACAACAGGAAGAAAGACGUAGAAAGUCUCUGUGUCUAGCUUAAGACCACUAGUGAGCAAUAGAUAACAGCAAGGCACAUGCUUUCCCUUUAUCGCCAGCCUUGAUUCCUGCCCUCCAAUUUGUAUGGAGCUGGGAAGAACAUGUGCCCACCAUCGCCACAGGUACAUGAGCAAAAUAAG